rnacentral:rRNA from 1 species
UACGUAGGGUGCAAGCGUUAAUCGGAAUUACUGGGCGUAAAGCGUGCGCAGGCGGCUAUGCAAGACAGAUGUGAAAUCCCCGGGCUCAACCUGGGAACUGCAUUUGUGACUGCAUGGCUAGAGUGCGGCAGAGGGGGAUGGAAUUCCGCCGUGUAGCAGUGAAAUGCGGUAGAUAUGCGGAGGAACACCCGAUGGCGAAGGCAUCCCCCUGGGGCCUGCACUGACGCUCAUGCACGAAAGCGUGGGGAGCAAACAGG